UACAGGGGGGGUAAGCGUUGUUCGGAAUUACUGGGCGUAAAGGGCUCGUAGGCGGCCAACUAAGUCAUACGUGAAAUCCCUCGGCUUAACCGGGGAACUGCGUCUGAUACUGGAUGGCUUGAGUUCGGGAGAGGGAUGCGGAAUUCCAGGUGUAGCGGUGAAAUGCGUAGAUAUCUGGAGGAACAUCGGUGGCGAAGGCGGCAUCCUGGACCGAUACUGACGCUGAGGAGCGAAAGCCAGGGGAGCAAACGGG
rnacentral:rRNA from 1 species